rnacentral:rRNA from 1 species
CGGCGAGUGAAGCGGGAACAGCUCAAAUUUGAAAUCUGGCCCUUGGGUCCGAGUUGUAAUUUGUAGAGGAUGCUUUUGGUGCGGUGCCUUCCGAGUUCCCUGGAACGGGACGCCUUAGAGGGUGAGAGCCCCGUACGGUUGGACGCCUAGCCUCUGUAAAGCUCCUUCGACGAGUCGAGUAGUUUGGGAAUGCUGCUCUAAAUGGGAGGUAUAUUUCUUCUAAAGCUAAAUACUGGCCAGAGACCGAUAGCGCACAAGUAGAGUGAUCGAAAGAUGAAAAGCACUUUGAAAAGAGGGUUAAAUAGCACGUGAAAUUGUUGAAAGGGAAGCGUUUAUCACCAGACUUUUUCUGGGGGGAUCAUCCGGUGUUCUCACCGGUGCACUUCCCCCAGUUGAGGCCAGCAUCGGUUUUCGGAGGGGGAUAAAAGUUUCGGGAAUGUGACUCCCUCGGGAGUGUUAUAGCCCGUUACAUAAUACCCUUCUGGGGACCGAGGUUCGCGCAUCUGCAAGGAUGCUGGCAUAAUGGUGAUCAACGACCCGUCUUGAAACACGGACCAAGGAGUCGAACAUUUAUG